rnacentral:rRNA from 1 species
AAUAAUUACAACUUUCAACAACGGAUCUCUUGGUUCUGGCAUCGAUGAAGAACGCAGCGAAAUGCGAUAAGUAGUGUGAAUUGCAGAAUUCAGUGAAUCAUCGAAUCUUUGAACGCACAUUGCGCCCUUUGGUAUUCCAAAGGGCAUGCCUGUUCGAGCGUCAUU